GUGUCCUGCUUUCUCUUACUUCUCGUUGACUUACGAUCCUUGCCUGAGAUCACGCGGCCCUUUCACGAGGAACUCCAACUCCAGCUUAGCAAUCAAUUCACAUCUUCUGCACACUGUUGCAAUUUGUGAAGCUGUCUCUAAGUGGGCUAUCAAGAUAAUGCACAACCAAAACUGGUUUCAACGCAAGAUUGGCAGUUACUAUAUAGCACCAAAACUAAGAGGUACUGAAUCUUAGGUUUGAUUUAUCAGGGUUCAUUUUUAAGUCUGUAAUACACGAAAGCACUUGCUCAUUACAACAACCCGUUGUUGCGUGGUAACAAUCAAGUUUAUUUCAUUAACAACGCGACCACUGCAACGCAACCUAAGCAUAUCUGUGAUUCUUACAAACCAACCAUGGGCAUGAGGUUUGUUAUUUGGAUCUAGUUCAUCGGUUUCCUUUUCCUGUUAUCCUGUGCAAGACUAUUGUAUAAACAGCUUUGCUUUCGCCAUUUACAAUUAAGAUCUGGUUUUCAAGUAUGUAAAUUAGAAUAUUGUGCCCUGUGAUAUCCUUACCUUGGAGCUGUUUUCAAGUGUUUCUACUCUGUAUUGUUAUUUGCAACUGGCUCCUGUUGUUUGGUUCAUUGGAUCUCAAGUGAUGUAGCCUGAAGAUUGUGGUGUUGAAGAUGGGAUCUGUAGGCCCCAUUGGAUGAUUGUUGGGCUGCUCGACUUCAAUGACCAUGGCUUUUAGGGAAAAAGAGAGAGCGCAGGACCCUAAACAACAUUCUUUAUGAAGCUGCAUCACGCUAAAUCAGCUAUUGAGGUGAUCAAGUUUUUCUCAAUGGUUCAAGAUUUGCGUUGCUACUUUUUGAUUAUUUUAGUUUGAGGUUGUUUUAAUGCAAUUUGCAGUUGGACAUUAAUAUAUUAGAUACAGACCUCGUUCUAGUCGUCAUAAUGCUAGUUUUUGGAAGCUGGAAAUGCCUUGUUUUCUCAAGCUUUGACAUUAGUUCGAGAUGUUUUAUCCGACGGUGUUUUCUUUCCUUGUAUGUGUUUGCUCUCUAGACGUCGCUGUUUUGUUGAAAAUGUGUGGAAUUAUCUUCCCUUUGAUCGAUUUGAAGAAAGCGGCCGUUCUUUUUGAAGCA